ACGGGAGGCAGCAGUGGGGAAUAUUGGGCAAUGGGGGCAACCCUGACCCAGCAACGCCGCGUGAAGGAUGAAGGCUUUCGGGUUGUAAACUUCUUUUACCAGGGACGAUGAAAGUGACGGUACCUGGAGAAAAAGCCACGGCUAACUACGUGCCAGCAGCCGCGGUAAUACGUAGGUGGCGAGCGUUGUCCGGAUUUACUGGGUGUAAAGGGCGUGUAGGCGGAGCAGCAAGUCAGAAGUGAAAUCUAGGGGCUCAACCCCUAAGCUGCUUUUGAAACUGUUGCCCUUGAGUAUCGGAGAGGCAGGCGGAAUUCCUAGUGUAGCGGUGAAAUGCGUAGAUAUUAGGAGGAACACCAGUGGCGAAGGCGGCCUGCUGGACAACAACUGACGCUGAGGCGCGAAAGCGUGGGGAGCAAACAGGAUUAGAUACCCUGGUA
rnacentral:rRNA from 1 species